rnacentral:rRNA from 1 species
UAAGGAAUAUUGGACAAUGCCCGCAAGGGUGAUCCAGCCAUGCCGCGUGCAGGAAGACGGCCCUAUGGGUUGUAAACUGCUUUUACACCGGAGAAAACCCCUGUUUGCGAACGGGGCUGAUAGUAUGGUGAGAAUAAGCAUCGGCUAACUUCGUGCCAGCAGCCGCGGUAAGACGAAGGAUGCAAGCGUUAUCCGGAUUCAUUGGGUUUAAAGGGAGCGUAGGUGGCCUUGUAAGUCAGUGGUGAAAUCUGACAGCUUAACUGUUAAAUUGCCAUUGAUACUGCAAGGCUUGAGUACAGAUGCCGUUGGCGGAAUAUGACAUGUAGUGGUGAAAUACAUAGAGAUGUCAUAGAACACCGAUUGCGAAGGCAGCUGACGAAACUGUAACUGACACUGAGGCUCGAAAGUGUGGGGAUCAAACAGGAUUAGAUACCCCGGUAGUCC